UGUGGCAGGGCGACAGGUCCACUUUAAGGGAGGUCCUCCCUUCUUUUUUUCUGUCUAAAGCCAUUUGGCCUCCUGAGGUCACAGAAGAUACAGAACUAAUAGUGGAACGCAAAGCCACAUGGAACCAACGGAAGGGCAGAAAGGGACCUGUCAAAGAAGAAUGGAGCCAAGGGAACAAAAGAAAAAAAGCUUGCUAAAACCUAAAUUCCCAUGGUCCACAGUUCCUAAUAGGGCCAGGACAUUUAUAGAUCCUAUCUGAUGAGAUCAAAGAGAAACUCUGGACUUUUCAGCAACAAUCCGGGACUUCCGGCUAAGCUGUCAAAAUCAGAAUUGUCCAACAAAAAAAGGGACAUUUGGGAGGUAUGAAAGAGCAGGGCAGAAGAGGCAUGUGCCUAGGGUGCAAAGGUAAGGGGGCUCCAGGCACAUACCACUUCUGACACCUUCCCUUAGUUGGGAUCAUUGUGACCUCCCAACUGCAGGAGAAAUUCAUUGCGUUUGCUCUUCCAUGCAUGUACUCUUACCACCUGUUUUGUGGUUCUAAAUGAAAAUGUUGCAUAAAUCCAGUAACUAGUUUGUAACCAGAAACACUAAUGACUGCUCAUAUUUAGUGACUUACGUAAUUUCAACUCAAGAAGGGUAAUUUCUGAAUGCAGUCCAAUGUUCAAAAUGCAAUUUUGGAUGCAAAUCGUCAUCUCUCUCCCCGCUAUUCCAAAUUAAUUGCUGCCGUACACAGAGUUGCACGCACCAAGAUUGCUUCAGACAUGUCAAAACCAAAACCUCAUGUGCAAGUUGGGGAUAAUAUUUCAGAACAUUGGAAUUACCACCUCUCAGGGAGAUUAUCUGGCUGAAGAGUUGCCCAUCAACAAAUGCAAGAGAAACAUCUUAAUGUAUCAAAAAACAAAUACUAGCCAAGCACCCAUCAUAUAAAAUGUAUAUGUAUAUAUUACAUUCAACACAUAUAUCCUUUUAUUCUGAG